rnacentral:lncRNA from 1 species
AGGCGAGGGCACCUCUGGGCAAGCAUGGUCUUUGGUGUGCUGCCAAGCUGACUGUCCUGAGUGUGACAAAGCAAGGGAGGGGCCCAGUGGGCCCCAGUCAAUGAGAAACAGAUCUGCCCUAAAAAUAACAGUGAAUGAACAGGCUUGCUUACACUGUCUUGCUUCAGAACUGGUUUGGCACAAAAUCAGACCUAAUGAUAGGUUCAGAAGGAAAAAUUCAUGGUUGGGAUUUGGAAUCCUCUGAGCCAACCAGUUAUCCACAAACAAGUCCACGGCUCUUCCGCUGGGUUUCCCAGAAGGUCUUCCAGGACAGGUCUCUUGUCAUCAUGGAGGACUCCACAGUCCUAUCUGGAGUCGCCUACUCCGGAGUGGAGAGAUGGAGAAGACUAAUCUUCACAAAAUCAACCAACAGCAGCAGUGAUGGCUGAUGACAGCAUGAAGAAGAAUCCUUCCUGUUGGAGCCAUUGAUCAUCUAUUCCCAUGACUAAUUGUGUGAUCCUGUUAAUGUAACAAAAUACCUGAAGCUGGGUACUUUAUAAGAAAAGAGAUGAGGUCAUCCAAAUAUCCCUGGAGCCAGCUGCCACCAGUCAGGGCUUUGGAUGCCUGCUCUGCAAUCCCUGCUGACCCACCACACUCCUUCACUUGGAAAGUCCCGACUCUGGCAAAGAGCUGCCCUUGAAGUAGGUACUUCAAAGGGGCCACAGGCUACUGGAAAGCGUUCAGAUCUCUUAUCUGAGGAGCAGUAAAUGCAGUGACACCACAAGCCUUUGGAGUUUCUGAAGACACCACAUGAAGUUAACAGGUUGAGCUAAUCAACCCAAGAGGAAGAAGGAACACAUGAACUGGAAAUAUUCAGCUGAAAUGGAUUGGUAUUUCAAAGCACAAAGCUCCUGAGAGAUGCUCUUCUGAACAGGAGGACAACAGGAGGGAAACAGUAUGUUCAUGGCAGAAUAAAACAAUCUUUCCCUGA